ACUACAAUACAUUGCGCUUGUGCAACAUAGAUUAGUUGCGAUUAAAUCUUAAAUUGUUAAUUCUAUCCAUCAAAAGAAAUUUUCUUUCUAUAUGAAUGCCAAUUUCUAUCGCCCAACUCCAAUUCCAUUUUCUACAGGCCCACACGCUCCCGCCACCGACCAGUCCUGAGUCCUGACUCCUAAGCGACAAAACGGGGCACACAUAUUUCGACUUUGUGCGGGAAAUAGAACCCCAUCGUGGCCGUCCAUUGUUAUCAAUCCAAUGGUGUAAAAUUCACGUACAAACUAGCCAUCUGUCUUGUCUUGUUCAACAUACCCUAUGCUCGUUUUGGCGCCACAUCUCUUUAUAAUUUUUCCGUUCCGUACCCUUCCCUUUUCCUAUUCAGCGCCCCAGGGCCCAGAGUCGUAGAAGGCGAGAAAUUACUUUGGUUCAAAGGAGUAAUCAGAUCACAUGGCUCCGGGAUUCGGGGAGGAGUCAACAAGCGCGUUUAUGGAUGAUUACGAGACCUUGAUUUUGACUACCGACGUGGAGCUCUUGAAGAGGGCCUCGCACAACGAGAAGCUGCUGCAGAGAUUCUUCAGUGUGAAGCUGCUUUGGUACAGUGAGUCAGAGCAGAUCGAAUUAGUGGUAUUGUUUAUCUCCAACUAAUACUCUGUUCUUCUACGCAUGAAUUUUCGAGGGAGAAGGGAAAAUUCAUGACUCAAACUGGAAUUGAGGAUAAUUUGCAAUUAAUAUGGUGGUCCAGUGGAAUCAUACUUGAAAUGUGCUUAUGAGGCCAAUCUGAAGAAUGGGACUAGUUAACCAUAUUGUAGCUGCUGUGCUAUCAUAUGUUGAUUGCUAAGUUGUUAUUACCAAUGUUCUUAUCUAGAGUGUUCAAGCUAAUAGUUGUGUUUAGGAUUCUCUCAUGUCUCAUUUUAUUCUUGAAAUGGAUACAAUGGCUGAGCAUUAUGUUCAUGGUCUUGUAGAUCCUGAAAUCUUGCGUUAAUUUCACCUUGGUCUUCAGAUGGGAUUAGCCUUUUCACCAUUUUGUUUCUGGAAGGAAGAUGCAAUUAUAUAGACUCCAUAUGGUACUGUAUGGGGUUAACCUGUGAUGAUAGUGACAGUCCAUUUGAUGAUGCAUCAAAUGUGCUUAUAGAGCCAAUCCUAAGAACAGGACUAGUUGAUCAUAUUGUUGCUGCUGUGCAUCAUAUGUUGAUUCCUAAGUUGGCAUUUCUGGUGUUCUCUAAUUCAAGGUGAAGGUCAUGCGUAGGAUUCUCUCGUGUCUCAUUUUAUUCUUGAAAUGCAUAUGAUUGUUGAGCUUUAGUUUCAUUGUCUUGACUCUUGCAGCAUGUGAAAACUUGUCCUAGAUUGCGCAUUGGUAUUUAGAUUUGAUUGUAUCUUUUUCACCAUUUUGUUUCUGUAAUGAGGAUGCAACCAUAUUUGUUGCUGCACAAAUGAUCACCAACGUUAUUUGAUUUAUUCUUCUUUUG